rnacentral:rRNA from 1 species
GUGGGGAAUAUUGGACAAUGGGCGAAAGCCUGAUCCAGCCAUGCCGCGUGUGUGAAGAAGGUCUUCGGAUUGUAAAGCACUUUAAGUUGGGAGGAAGGGCAGUAAGUUAAUACCUUGCUGUUUUGACGUUACCGACAGAAUAAGCACCGGCUAACUUCGUGCCAGCAGCCGCGGUAAUACGAAGGGUGCAAGCGUUAAUCGGAAUUACUGGGCGUAAAGCGCGCGUAGGUGGUUUUGUAAGUUGGAGGUUAAAUCCCCGGGCUCAACCUGGGAACUGCCUCCAAAACUGCAUGACUAGAGUACGGUAGAGGGUAGUGGAAUUUCCUGUGUAGCGGUGAAAUGCGUAGAUAUAGGAAGGAACACCAGUGGCGAAGGCGACUACCUGGACUGAUACUGACACUGAGGUGCGAAAGCGUGGGGAGCAAACAGGAUUAGAAACCCCUGUAGUCC